UACAGAGGUCCCAAGCGUUGUUCGGAUUCACUGGGCGUAAAGGGUGCGUAGGUGGCCAGGUAAGUCUGAUGUGAAAUCUCGGAGCUCAACUCCGAAACUGCAUUGGAUACUAUCCGGCUAGAGGAAUGGAGGGGAGACUGGAAUACUUGGUGUAGCAGUGAAAUGCGUAGAUAUCAAGUGGAACACCAGUGGCGAAGGCGAGUCUCUGGACAUUUCCUGACGCUGAGGCACGAAAGCCAGGGGAGCAAACGGG
rnacentral:rRNA from 1 species